rnacentral:rRNA from 1 species
UACGGGGGGGGCAAGCGUUGUUCGGAAUUACUGGGCGUAAAGGGCUCGUAGGUGGCCAACUAAGUCAGACGUGAAAUCCCUCGGCUUAACCGGGGAGCUGCGUCUGAUACUGGAUGGCUUGAGUUUGGGAGAGGGAUGCGGAAUUCCAGGUGUAGCGGUGAAAUGCGUAGAGAUGUGGAGGAACACCAGUGGCGAAGGCGACUCUUUGGCCUGUAACUGACGCUGAGGCGCGAAAGCGUGGGGAGCAAACAGG